CCUACGGGAGGCAGCAGUGGGGAAUAUUGGGCAAUGGGCGCAAGCCUGACCCAGCAACGCCGCGUGAAGGAAGAAGGCUUUCGGGUUGUAAACUUCUUUUAAGAGGGAAGAGCAGAAGACGGUACCUCUUGAAUAAGCCACGGCUAACUACGUGCCAGCAGCCGCGGUAAUACGUAGGUGGCAAGCGUUGUCCGGAUUUACUGGGUGUAAAGGGCGUGUAGCCGGGCUGACAAGUCAGAUGUGAAAUCCCGUGGCUCAACCACGGAACUGCUUUCAAGACUGACGGACUUGAGUGUAAGAGGGGUAAGCGGAAUUCCUAGUGUAGCGGUGGAAUGCGUAGAUAUUAGGAGGAACACCAGUGGCGAAGGCGGCUUACUGGAUUAUAACUGACGCUGAGGCUCGAAAGCGUGGGUAGCAAACAGGAUUAGAUACCCGAGUAGUC
rnacentral:rRNA from 1 species